rnacentral:rRNA from 1 species
CCUACGGGUGGCAGCAGUGGGGAAUAUUGGGCAAUGGGCGCAAGCCUGACCCAGCAACGCCGCGUGAAGGAAGAAGGCUUUCGGGUUGUAAACUUCUUUUCUCAGGGACGAAGCAAGUGACGGUACCUGAGGAAUAAGCCACGGCUAACUACGUGCCAGCAGCCGCGGUAAUACGUAGGGGGCAAGCGUUAUCCGGAUUUACUGGGUGUAAAGGGCGUGUAGGCGGGGACGCAAGUCAGAUGUGAAAACCACGGGCUCAACCGGUGGCCUGCAUUUGAAACUGUGUUUCUUGAGUACUGGAGAGGCAGGCGGAAUUCGUGGUGUAGCGGUGAAAUGCGUAGAUAUUAGAAAGAACACCAGUGGCGAAGGCAGCCUGCUGGACAGCAACUGACGCUGAGGCGCGAAAGCGUGGGGAGCAAACAGGAUUAGAUACCCUAGUAGUC